rnacentral:rRNA from 1 species
GAUGAACGCUAGCGGCAGGCUUAAUACAUGCAAGUCGAGGGGCAGCGCAGUGUAGCAAUACAUGGGCGGCGACCGGCAAACGGGUGCGGAACACGUACGCAACCUACCCAUAACUGAUGAAUAGCCCUCCGAAAGGAGGAUUAAUACAUCGUAACUUAAUGAAGUGGCAUCGCUUUAUUAAUAUAGCUUCGGCGGUUUUGGAUGGGCGUGCGCCUGAUUAGGUAGUUGGCGGGGUAACGGCCCACCAAGCCUGCGAUCAGUAACUGGUGUGAGAGCACGACCAGUCACACGGGCACUGAGACACGGGCCCGACUCCUACGGGAGGCAGCAGUAAGGAAUAUUGGUCAAUGGACGCAAGUCUGAACCAGCCAUGCCGCGUGAAGGAUGAAGGUCCUCUGGAUUGUAAACUUCUUUUGAAUGAGACGAAACCUCUUUUUCUUGAGAGACUGACGGUACCAUUAGAAUAAGCACCGGCUAACUCCGUGCCAGCAGCCGCCGUAAUAC